ACAAAGGCUCUUUUCAGAGCCACCCACUGUUUCUAAGAAUACGCUG
rfam:Heterocephalus glaber contig168509, whole genome shotgun sequence.